GCGUUGUCCGGAAUCAUUGGGCGUAAAGAGCGUGUAGGCGGCCCGAUAAGUCCGCCGUGAAAGUCCAGGGCUCAACCCUGGGAUGCCGGUGGAAGCUGUCGGGCUAGAGUCCGGAAGAGGCGAGUGGAAUUCCUGGUGUAGCGGUGAAAUGCGCAGAUAUCAGGAGGGACACCAACGGCGAAGGCAGCUCGCUGGGACGGUACUGACGCUGAGACGCGAAAGCGUG
rnacentral:rRNA from 1 species